rnacentral:lncRNA from 1 species
CUGGUUUGUAGAGGAUAGAUCAUUGUGACUACAUCCUCCUUUGUACUAUAAUUAGCCUUUAUUAUACUUAUUCAAAAUUUGUUCCAUGUUAUAAUAUUUUUUUAAGAAAAUAAAUUUUUCAUGCCAAUCAAUCCAGCAAGGAAAACCCAUCAUUGGACAUUCUCAAAAUUUAAUUAUUUUAUUAAAAAAUAAAAAUUAAUAACUUCAUUUUAUUAUUUUGAUAUUUCUAAAUCAUUUUAGCUAAAACACUUAAAAAUAUCGAUAAGUUCAACAUAUUCCUAUAUUUGUAUCUUAUUUUUUUAACAAGUCCUUUAAAAUAUAGAUAAUUC